rnacentral:rRNA from 1 species
UACGUAGGGUGCAAGCGUUGUCCGGAAUUAUUGGGCGUAAAGAGCUCGUAGGCGGUUUGUUGCGUCGGCUGUGAAAUCCCGAGGCUCAACCUCGGGUCUGCAGUCGAUACGAGCAAACUAGAGUGUUGCAGGGGAGACUGGAAUUCCUGGUGUAGCGGUGAAAUGCGCAGAUAUCAGGAGGAACACCGGUGGCGAAGGCGGGUCUCUGGGCCGAUACUGACGCUGAGACGCGAAAGCGUGGGGAGCAAACAGG